GACGAACGCUGGCGGCGUGCCUAAUACAUGCAAGUCGAACGCAGUGGGGACGGGUGAGUAACACGUGGGUAACCUCCCAUCAGAGGGGAUAACACUUGGAAACAGGUGCUAAACCGAUACUGAUGGAUGGACCAGCGUUGCAUUAGCGAGUUGGUGGGGUAAGGGCUCACCAAGGCCACGAUGCAUAGCCGACCUGAGAGGGUGAUCGGCCACACUGGGACUGAGACACGGCCCAGACUCCUACGGGAGGCAGCAGUAGGGAAUCUUCCGCAAUGGGCGAAAGCCUGACGGAGCAACGCCGCGUGAGUGAAGAAGGUUUUCGGAUCGUAAAACUCUGUUAUUAGGGAAGCGGUACCUAACCAGAAAGCCACGGCUAACUACGUGCCAGCAGCCGCGGUAAUUC
rnacentral:rRNA from 1 species